rnacentral:rRNA from 1 species
CGGCAGGCUUAACACAUGCAAGUCGAGGGGUAACAGGAUUUAGUUUACUAGAUUGCUGACGACCGGCGCACGGGUGAGUAACGCGUAUACAAUUUGCCUUUUACUGGAGGAUAGCCAAGAGAAAUUUUGAUUAAUACUCCAUAGUAUUAUUUGAUCACCUGAUCGAGUAAUUAAAGCUUCGGCGGUAAAAGAUGAGUAUGCGUCCUAUUAGCUAGAUGGUAAGGUAACGGCUUACCAUGGCGACGAUAGGUAGGGGUCCUGAGAGGGAGAUC